UAUGAAUGAUCUCAAUAAAGAGAACCAGUUGGAAAUAGACAUUCUAUUUCAGACCACACUUUAUGUUAUUUCCAUGCUACACAUCUAUACUUGAUCCAAGUCGUUGGUUAUAUUGAUAUACGUGAUCUAUGUUGGUUCUAGUUACGCAAGAAUAACUAAGAGCUCUUAGAUCCUAUGUUGGUAUGAUUGAUGGACCGGAUUGUUCAUGAC
rnacentral:lncRNA from 1 species